AUGGGCUCCAGGCUCCUCUGCUGGGUGGCCCUUGGGCUCCUGGGAGCAGGCCCUGCAGAUGCUGAGGUCACUCAAAGUCCCAGAUACCUGGUCAAAGCAAGGAGUCAGCCAGUGACCCUGACUUGCAACUAUGAGUCUGGGCACCAGUAUGUAGCCUGGUACCAGCAGGCCCUGGGAAUGAGUCUCGACUUCCUUGUUUCUUACUACGGUGGGCAAGAGAAUGAGAGAGGCAGCCUUCCUGUUCGCUUCUCAGUCACACUGUUAAAAAACGACUUCAUCACUGAGCUGAGCAUAAGCUCCGUGGAAGUGGUCGACUCUGCCCUGUACCUCUGUGCCAGCAGCCUCACAGCCCUGCCUGCUCAGCUGUCUCCUGCACAAAAACAUCCCUGGCCAGCCCAGGAAGUGGCAGUGUGA